rnacentral:rRNA from 1 species
CAGCAGCCGCGGGAAUACAGAGGGUGCGAGCGUUAAUCGGAUUUACUGGGCGUAAAGCGUGCGUAGGCGGCUUCUUAAGUCGGAUGUGAAAUCCCUGAGCUUAACUUAGGAAUUGCAUUCGAUACUGUGAAGCUAGAGUAUGGGAGAGGAUGGUAGAAUUCCAGGUGUAGCGGUGAAAUGCGUAGAGAUCUGGAGGAAUACCGAUGGCGAAGGCAGCCAUCUGGCCUAAUACUGACGCUGAGGUACGAAAGCAUGGGGAGCAAACAGGAUUAGAUACCCCCGUAGUCCCUGUCUCUUAUAC